rnacentral:rRNA from 1 species
GUGGGGAAUCUUGCGCAAUGGGCGAAAGCCUGACGCAGCCAUGCCGCGUGGAUGAUGAAGGUCUUAGGAUUGUAAAAUCCUUUCACCGGUGAAGAUAAUGACUGUAGCCGGAGAAGAAGCCCCGGCUAACUUCGUGCCAGCAGCCGCGGUAAUACGAAGGGGGCUAGCGUUGCUCGGAUUUACUGGGCGUAAAGGGCGCGUAGGCGGACAUUUAAGUCAGGGGUGAAAUCCCGGGGCUCAACCUCGGAACUGCCUUUGAUACUGGGUGUCUUGAGGAUGAGAGAGGUGUGUGGAACUCCGAGUGUAGAGGUGAAAUUCGUAGAUAUUCGGAAGAACACCAGUGGCGAAGGCGACACACUGGCUCAUUACUGACGCUGAGGCGCGAAAGCGUGGGGAGCAAACAGGAUUAGAAACCCGUGUAGUCC